rnacentral:misc_RNA from 1 species
GAUGAAGAACGCAGCGAAAUGCGAUAAGUAGUGUGAAUUGCAGAAUUCAGUGAAUCAUCGAAUCUUUGAACGCACAUUGCGCCCGCCAGUAUUCUGGCGGGCAUGCCUGUCCGAGCGUCAUUUCAACCCUCAAGCCCCCGGGCUUGGUGUUGGAGAUCGGCGAGCCCCCCGGGGCGCGCCGUCUCCCAAAUAUAGUGGCGGUCCCGCUGUAGCUUCCUCUGCGUAGUAGCACACCUCGCACUGGGAAACAGCGUGGCCACGCCGUAAAACCCCCCACUUCUGAAAGGUUGACCUCGGAUCAGGUAGGAAUACCCGCUGAACUUAAGCAUAUCAAUAAGCGGAGGA